UACAUCCUAUAUUGUUGAAAAUGUUUAUGC
rnacentral:piRNA from 1 species